UACGUAGGGUGCGAGCGUUAAUCGGAAUUACUGGGCGUAAAGGGUGCGUAGGCGGUUUGAUAAGUCAUCUGUGAAAUCUCUGGGCUCAACCCAGAGUCUGCAGGCGAAACUGUCGGGCUUGAGUAUGGGAGAGGUGAGUGGAAUUUCCGGUGUAGCGGUGAAAUGCGUAGAUAUCGGAAGGAACACCUGUGGCGAAAGCGGCUCACUGGACCAUUACUGACGC
rnacentral:rRNA from 1 species